UCUCUCAUAGUACAACGGGUUAGUACACACAUUGCGGAUCAGUAUUUGGGUUCUCGAUUAUUGUGUGGGAUCUGGGUUCGAUUCCCAGUGAGAGAA